UACAGAGGUCUCAAGCGUUGUUCGGAUUCAUUGGGCGUAAAGGGUGCGUAGGCGGCGCGGUAAGUCGGAUGUGAAAUCUCGGAGCUUAACUUCGAAACUGCAUUCGAUACUGCUGUGCUUGAGGACUGGAGAGGAGACUGGAAUUUACGGUGUAGCGGUGAAAUGCGUAGAUAUCGUAAGGAAGACCAGUGGCGAAGGCGGGUCUCUGGACAGUUCCUGACGCUGAGGCACGAAGGUCAGGGGAGCAAACGGG
rnacentral:rRNA from 1 species